UUUUUUCUAAAUCUUUAUUGAACAGUUAAAAAAAUAAAAAUAAUUUGUAUUAAAAAUAGUGUUGAGUAUACAAUAAUGCAUGAUACAUAUAAAUGGGAAAUUGCUGAAUGCUGUAACAACUGAACAUGUAAAUUGGGAUAUUGAGUCUUGGUGCUGGCUCACUCAAGACACUUAAACUCUCCCCAUAUCAUUGGGUUCAUUUGUGGGAAAGGUAACUUUACCUAAUAUUUAGCCAGUGUUGUAGUAUUCUGUCACUGUGUGUUUCUAGGUUGUAUCUGUGGUUAUAUUUGCGUACAAAUAGAAAGUAUGUGUGUGAACAAGUGUUCAGCAGAGGAAUACCAUUUGUAAAGUUUCUGAGUGGUGUUGGCCUUAUACCUUUUCCACAUUUAUCCUUCACUUCUUUUUUUUUCAGGCUGUGAUUGAAAAGGAAGGUGGGAUGGCAGAGGCAGACUGUACUUCCUAUGCUGAGACACACGGACGGACUCAUCCCAUACACAAUAGACAGGCAGAGGGCCCAGAAUGUGUAUGGAAAAGGGAGAGAGAAAGACCUGAAAUCCGAGAAUGUAUGGAUACAUUUGGCUGGCAAGAUGAAUAUGAGCAGUUUCUGAGAAACCGGCAAAGCAGUAUUUCAGGGAAAAAGAUGAGUAAGUCCUGCUUUGAAAAAUUUAAAUGUUUGGCUCUUUGUUAUGUUGGAAUUCAUUUAAAGUAAAAGACAGUCUUAAAUGCUGGAAACCAUGGAGGAGGCUGUACCUACAUUUCAGGUCACCAACUCUUAAAGGAGAAGACUGUUGUAGAAGUAGGUCAAACGUUACCAGUAGUAUUUGAAGUGGUUUUGUACGGUGGUAGUUUAUAAUUCCGUUAGUAGCUUUGCUCUGUUCAUACUUAGUGAGCUGUAUUUUAAUACUGAGAGGGAUGGAUUCCAUUGCUCUUAUUCAUGUUGAGUUGCAGUCAGUGGAACUAAUUGUUGAAUAAGGUAUGCUCAGCAUGAAGAUGGGUGAUGGAAUCUAGCCCAGAUGGAAAUACAUUUUAAACUACUGCUGUAUUAGAGAGCAGCCAUCUCAACAUGGACAAAUCUAGCACGUUGCUAAAAGUGCUUCAUCUCAUUCUUCUGGCACGCUGCAGUAUUUUUACAGAUGAAUACAGGGGUUGUUUUAAAGG
rnacentral:lncRNA from 1 species